AAGAAUUCAAUAAUUAUAUUUUUGUGUUUGGCAAGACCUUCGGUCUUGUGCCUAUGUACCAACAUAAAAAUGAGGGAUCAAAACCUCGUAGUUCGUGAUACAAAUUUCAAAAUGGAUGCAUUGCUUUUAAUAAAAAUUAAGUUUGAAAGGCAGAAAGGCCUAAAAAUGGUUUGAAUGAGUUAGUUCUUUUUUUUUUUUGCUUUUUGAAAGUUUAAGUCAAG
rnacentral:lncRNA from 1 species